rnacentral:rRNA from 1 species
CGCAAGGUGCAUGGCAGACGGGUGAGUAACGCGUAGGGAAUCUACCUCUUUGUGGGGAAUAACGCUCCGAAAGGAGUGGUAAUACCGCAUGAGACCGUGGUCUGGGAUGACUACGGUGAAACCUGGGGACCGCAAGGCCUGGGGCAAGGAGAGGAUCCUGCGUCUGAUUAGCUAGUUGGCGGGGUAAUGGCCCACCAAGGCGACGAUCAGUAGCCGGCCUGAGAGGGUGAUCGGCCACACUGGAACUGAGACACGGUCCAGACUCCUACGGGAGGCAGCAGUGGGGAAUUUUGCGCAAUGGACGAAAGUCUGACGCAGCAACGCCGCGUGGGUGAUGAAGGUCUUCGGACUGUAAAACCCUGUCGUCAGGGACGAAGGUUGAGGGGUUAAUAACCCUUUAGCUUGACGGUACCUGGAGAGGAAGCCCCGGCUAACUCUGUGCCAGCAGCCGCGGUAAUACAGAGGGGGCAAGCGUUAUUCGGAAUUAUUGGGCGUAAAGGGCGCGUAGGCGGUUUUUUAAGUCAGAUGUGUAAUCCCCGAGCUUAACUUGGGAACUGCAUCUGAGACUGGAAGGCUAGAGUACUGGAGAGGGUGGUGGAAUUCCUCGUGUAGCGGUGAAAUGCGUAGAGAUGAGGAGGAACACCAGUGGCGAAGGCGGCCACCUGGACAGUAACUGACGCUGAGGCGCGAAAGUGUGGGUAGCAAACAGGAUUAGAUACCCUGGUAGUCCACGCUGUAAACGAUGAACACUUGGUGUGGAGGGAGUUGACCCCUUCCGUGCCGGAGCUAACGCGUUAAGUGUCCGCC